rnacentral:rRNA from 1 species
GAUAAACGCUGGCGGCGUGCAUGAGACAUGCAAGUCGAACGGACGAUCAGGGCUUGCUCUGAUCGUUAGUGGCGGACGGCUGAGUAACGCGUAGGUGACCUGCCCCGAAGUGGGGAAUAACUGCCCGAAAGGGUGGCUAAUACCGCAUGUGGUGGUGCCUUCAUGGGCACCAGUAAAGCCGCAAGGCGCUUCGGGAGGGGCCUGCGUCCGAUUAGCUCGUUGGGGGGUAACGGCUCACCAAGGCGACGAUCGGUAGGUGGUCUGAGAGGACGAUCACCCAGACUGGGACUGAGACACGGCCCAGACUCCUACGGGAGGCAGCAGUCGGGAAUUUUGCGCAAUGGACGAAAGUCUGACGCAGCAACGCCGCGUGAGGGAUGACGG